rnacentral:rRNA from 2 species
GAUGAACGCUGGCGGCGUGCCUAAUACAUGCAAGUCGAGCGAACAGAUAAGGAGCUUGCUCCUUUGACGUUAGCGGCGGACGGGUGAGUAACACGUGGAUAACCUACCUAUAAGACUGGGAUAACUUCGGGAAACCGGAGCUAAUACCGGAUAACAUAUUGAACCGCAUGGUUCAAUAGUGAAAGGCGGCUUUGCUGUCACUUAUAGAUGGAUCCGCGCCGUAUUAGCUAGUUGGUAAGGUAACGGCUUACCAAGGCAACGAUACGUAGCCGACCUGAGAGGGUGAUCGGCCACACUGGAACUGAGACGCGGUCCAGACUCCUACGGGAGGCAGCAGUAGGGAAUCUUCCGCAAUGGGCGAAAGCCUGACGGAGCAACGCCGCGUGAGUGAUGAAGGUCUUCGGAUCGUAAAACUCUGUUAUCAGGGAAGAACAAAUGUGUAAGUAACUGUGCACAUCUUGACGGUACCUGAUCAGAAAGCCACGGCUAACUACGUGCCAGCAGCCGCGGUAAUACGUAGGUGGCAAGCGUUAUCCGGAAUUAUUGGGCGUAAAGCGCGCGUAGGCGGUUUUUUAGUCUGAUGUGAAGCCCACGGCUCAACCGUGGAGGGUCAUUGGAAACUGGAAAACUUGAGUGCAGAAGAGGAAAGUGGAAUUCCAUGUGUAGCGGUGAAAUGCGCAGAGAUAUGGAGGAACACCAGUGGCGAAGGCGACUUUCUGGUCUGUAACUGACGCUGAUGUGCGAAAGCGUGGGGAUCAAACAGGAUUAGAUACCCUGGUAGUCCACGCCGUAAACGAUGAGUGCUAAGUGUUAGGGGGUUUCCGCCCCUUAGUGCUGCAGCUAACGCAUUAAGCACUCCGCCUGGGGAGUACGACCGCAAGGUUGAAACUCAAAGGAAUUGACGGGGACCCGCACAAGCGGUGGAGCAUGUGGUUUAAUUCGAAGCAACGCGAAGAACCUUACCAAAUCUUGACAUCCUUUGACCGCUCUAGAGAUAGAGUCUUCCCCUUCGGGGGACAAAGUGACAGGUGGUGCAUGGUUGUCGUCAGCUCGUGUCGUGAGAUGUUGGGUUAAGUCCCGCAACGAGCGCAACCCUUAAGCUUAGUUGCCAUCAUUAAGUUGGGCACUCUAAGUUGACUGCCGGUGACAAACCGGAGGAAGGUGGGGAUGACGUCAAAUCAUCAUGCCCCUUAUGAUUUGGGCUACACACGUGCUACAAUGGACAAUACAAAGGGCAGCUAAACCGCGAGGUCAAGCAAAUCCCAUAAAGUUGUUCUCAGUUCGGAUUGUAGUCUGCAACUCGACCACAUGAAGCUGGAAUCGCUAGUAAUCGUAGAUCAGCAUGCUACGGUGAAUACGUUCCCGGGUCU